rnacentral:sRNA from 1 species
CAAAUUAAGGUUUUUUUCUUCUGUUUUCUUGACAAGAAAAUGUCGCCCAAAGAGUUUCGGCCGUUAUUUUUCCUAUCGAAGUGGGUCCUUUUUGUCUUUAGUCCUUCUCUGGGGCUAGCGAUCACUGCAAAAUUAGGCUUCACUGGUACGAGUUAACUUUUUUUCUUUUUUUUUGUCAUCCUUUUCUUUGGGGCUAAGAAUGGACUUCCCUUUUCUUUUUCUUUGUUGCAGCAGUGGCUUCAAAGAACUGCUGAUUGCUCAAGGCAAUCAGUCCGAGCGUUUAGAAGGUGAUUGUAGGCAGAAAUUAACUUUGCGGUAAAAGAAUGACAUUCUUUCUUAAAAGAAAAAUUAGCUUUUUUUUGUCAGGCAUUGCACAAACUUUUUUAUUUCUGCCUAUACUCUUAAACAGAUCAGUCAUUCAUGUUGUCUUUUUAACGGUCGUACUGGGACAUCGCAUGCCUUGGGAUUCCGUAAUUAGGUGCAACAAUACGGGCACAACUCAUUCUGCGCUAUCUUCACGGACAGAACUUCUAUUGCCUAUCGGUGGUGUGAUUAACAAUUGGAAGCGCAGAGCUUGGAAUGGAUUUUCAAUUCAAUGGAUUUGGAGGUAUUCGUUUGUUUACUAAUAUUUACUUUGAGGACAUUGUCCAACCCUAAAAGUGCCUGUUCCAGAAUAGAAUAACAUUAUGAUACGUUUUCUUGACCGCUGAGCAAUUUAAAGCAACUAUUAGGGUACGAUUGUUUCUAGAGAAAUGUGGGUCAUCUUUUUAGGUCCGUUCUCUUCUGAUGAGGUAACCUUUUCUUUACAAAAAUGUCAUAGAGUUACCAAUUGGGAUUCAAGGCAUCAUCGCAAUAUACUUCGUUCUUUUACGGAGAAAUUAAGCUCUUUCCACUUUGAAUUAACUGUUAGACUUGUCUUAUCUGAGGAAUGUCCGUGUUCAAAUUAAAUAAAAAUUUAGGGCAGUUUUAUUUACCUUAACAAAUAUGUUCAAGCAU